AUGGCCCAUGUGGCCCAUGUGGCCCAUGUGGCCCAUGUAACCCUGCAGCCUAUAUAUGUGCUGCCCCCUUGUACAGGAAACCCUAACUCCAAUAGAAUACAAUACCAGGCCAUCUUUCUAUCCCAGCCGCCACCCCUCUCUCCCCUGAUUCUACAUGGUAUCAGAGCUUGGGUUCCCAAUCCCAGCAGUGGUGAUGGUGGUUGGCUGGUUGUGCUUGCUGGCGAUUGUCUGAGAGGAGAAGGCUUGUGUGGAAGAAGGAGAGGUGGAAUCCCAGAUCUGAGGGGAGGAGGUAGUAGAGAGGUGAAAGUGGGGAGCAGUGGUUGCUGGAGGUUGCUAGUGGUGUGA
rnacentral:rRNA from 1 species